rnacentral:rRNA from 1 species
UACGUAGGGUGCAAGCGUUAAUCGGAAUUACUGGGCGUAAAGCGUGCGCAGGCGGUUUGUAAGUUUGUCGUGAAAGCCCCGGGCUCAACCUGGGAAUUGCGAUGAAGACUGCAAGGCUUGAAUCUGGCAGAGGGGGGUAGAAUUCCACGUGUAGCAGUGAAAUGCGUAGAGAUGUGGAGGAACACCGAUGGCGAAGGCAGCCCCUGGGUCAAGAUUGACGCUCAUGCACGAAAGCGCUGGGGAGCAAACAGG